UCCGGUUUAUCACCGGCAGUCUCCUUAGAGUGCCCAACUGAAUGAUGGCAACUAAGAAUAAGGGUUGCGCUCGUUGCGGGACUUAACCCAACAUCUCACGACACGAGCUGACGACAACCAUGCACCACCUGUCACCGUUGCCCCCGAGGGGGAAACUAUGUCUCCAUAGUGGCCACCGGGAUGUCAAGACCUGGUAAGGUUCUUCGCGUUGCUUCGAAUUAAACCACAUGCUCCACCGCUUGUGCGGGCCCCCGUCAAUUCCUUUGAGUUUCAGUCUUGCGACCGUACUCCCCAGGCGGAGUGCUUAAUGCGUUAGCUGCGCCACUGACGAGUAAACCCGCCAACGGCUAGCAUCCAUCGUUUACGGCGUGGACUAC
rnacentral:misc_RNA from 1 species